GGUGUUUUGAGCCCUCACCGGCGCCUUCCAGGCAGCCGCUGCCUGGAAGGCGCCGGAAGGUGGUCCCGCCCCCCAAAACUCUGAUCCAAUCAAUGCGCUACCCCCACUUGGAGCGGAGCGCAUAUUCAAAUCCACUUUUUGGAGCGCAUUGCAUAUUCAAACCCGCGCAUUUGGAGCCAAACCCACUUGGAGCGCAUUUGGAGCGCAUUUAACCCACUUGGUUCAACAAUUUCAAAGGUACGUAGCUAUUUUUGGGCCGGCUAAUGUUGUGGUAAUGUUAUUUCAACCUGCUAGCUAGCAGAUAGAUGAUGCUAAUCUUAGCUGUGGUAAUGUCAUUUCUACCUGCUAGCGAGCUAAAUCUGGUUAAAACAUUAGGUAACAAAGUAAGAUUAAUUACUGCAGAUUAAUCACUGUAUUUGAGUGAUUGUUAAUGGUUAGUGGUUAUCUUUCAAAUGAUGCCUGUGAGGCACUUGACGUUGAGACUGGUUGACUUCCAGGCUGCUUUGGAAUAAGGAUACCUCUGAGGCAGCCACCAGUUUUUGGAUAACUCUGAGGCAUCAUAGGUAGUGUUGACUGCCAGGCUGCCUAGUCGUUGGUAUACAGGUUAACUCACAGGCAUCCAGUUGGUUUUAGAUACCUGUAAGGCAUCUAGACGGACAUUAAGAGGGGCUGACUCCCAGGCUGCUUCCUAACACUGGUUAGCUCUCAGGCAGCCAAUUAGCUUUGGAUGCCUGUGAGGCACCUGACGUUGAGACUGGUUGACUGUAGACUGAUAUCCCUUAGUUAAAUUGUCCUCAUGCCUCCUCAUACAGAUAGGCCUAUUGAAUAAAUCUGCCAGAUUAUUUUUAACAUUGCAUAUGCCUAACAUUAUGUGAUAAUACUAAUCACACUCAUAUUGCCUUUCUCUUUCAGUUUAUGAAGAAAUGGCGCCCAGGAAGGUAGGACGGAAGCGGAAGGCCCUGCAGGUGUCAAAAGGUGGACCAUCUGCAAAGAUCGCAAUUUUCCACCAGUCACCACUGGUUGGUGGAGCCUC